rnacentral:lncRNA from 1 species
UCAGUUACCUGUGGCCGAUCAUGGUCCAAAAAUAUUAAGAUAUUUUGAGAAAGAAAGGGAGAGAGUGUGAGGAACUCCUCCACCCCCAGCCAGGGGAAGUGGUGAGUGACUGUGCAACCCCUCCUGAGAAACCACACUUCUCCCAUGGAUCUUUACAUUCAUACCACUCUUGGUAUAGUAUAAUUGUUCUAUUUUAUUAUUAGUUACUACUGUUGAUCUCUUACUGUUCCUAAUUUAUGAACUAAACUUUAUCAUAGUUAUAAACAUACAGGGAAAACAUAGUAUAUAUAUAGUAUUCAGUAUUAUCUGAGAUUUCAGGCAUCUACUGUGGUUGUUGAAACAUCCCCUUGCAGAUAAGGGGAUACUACUGUAUGAUUAGAACUGUAGAUGAAUUUAGUUUUGUUUUUGUAUAUCUGUAUUUUCUGUAAUAGUAUACAUUUCUUUCAUAAUGAAAACAUACAAUGAAAGUUAUUAUUUUGAAGGGGUGAGUUUACUUUUUCCGCAAGGCCUCAAUAAAUAUGCUUCCAUUUAUACAGCUUGGCCAGAAUUGAGUCACCUGGUCACUCAUAACUGCUAAGAACGUGGGGAGGUAAAUAUUUCUGCUCUGAAUAAAAUUGGGGUUUUGAUAGUAAAUAAGAAUGUAUAUUGGGCUAGCAAAUGACGGUGUCCACUGUAGAUGCAAUGUAUGCUGAAUUUUGUAUUUAAUGAUUACUCAGCUGUAAUUUGCCGAAAAGAAUGACCCAUAAAUAGGUGUAUAUACAUGGUUAUAUGCAUAGUGUAUAUACGAUGGUUAUAUGUUAGUUUGUACAUAAAAGAGAUCAGAGAACCAUGAUUUGGUGGAAAAGCAUGCCUGGAUUCAGACCUGGCUUCUAAUCUUAUGUUUAAUAUUUUUAUUUGUUACUCUAAAAAAGUAGAAAUAAUACCUAUUUUUAUGAUGCUUAAAAAGAAUAAGGACUAUGAAGUGUCACCUAUAUAUAAAGAGAGAUAAAUCAAGGGUUGAAUUUACCAAAAAAAAAAAA